GGCUGGUCCAAGUGUAAUAGUGUUUACAACUAAUUGAUCACAACAGUUACAGAUUUCUUUGUUCCUUCUCCACUCUCACUGCUUCACUUGACCAACUUUAC
rnacentral:Y_RNA from 1 species